rnacentral:tRNA from 2 species
GCAUCCGUAGUUCAAUGGACAGAAUGUGGGCUUCCGGAGCCUAAGAUGUGGGUUCGAUUCCCGCCGGGUGCACAA